GGGGCCGUAGUUCAGUUGGGAGAGCGCUUGACUGGCAGUCAAGAGGUCACGGGUUCGAAUCCCGUCGGCUCCA
rnacentral:tRNA from 1 species